rnacentral:rRNA from 1 species
UACGUAGGCAGCAAGCGUUGUUCGGAGUUACUGGGCGUAAAGGGUGCGUAGGCGGCUUUUAAGUUUGGUGUGAAAUCUCCCGGCUCAACUGGGAGGGUGCGCCGAAUACUGAGAGGCUAGAGUGUGGGAGAGGAAAGUGGAAGUUCCGUGGUGUAGCGGUGAAAUGCGUAGAUAUCAGGAGGAACACCGGUGGUGUAAACGGCUUCUGGACCAUAACUGACGCUGAUGCACGAAAGCGUGGGUAGCAAACAGG